rnacentral:rRNA from 1 species
UGGGGAAUUUUGGACAAUGGGCGCAAGCCUGAUCCAGCAAUGCCGCGUGAGUGAAGAAGGCCUUCGGGUUGUAAAGCUCUUUUGUCAGGGAAGAAACGGCGGAGGUUAAUACCUUCUGCUAAUGACGGUACCUGAAGAAUAAGCACCGGCUAACUACGUGCCAGCAGCCGCGGUAAUACGUAGGGUGCAAGCGUUAAUCGGAAUUACUGGGCGUAAAGCGUGCGCAGGCGGUUGUGCAAGACCGAUGUGAAAUCCCCGGGCUUAACCUGGGAAUGGCAUUGGUGACUGCACGGCUAGAGUGUGUCAGAGGGGGGUAGAAUUCCACGUGUAGCAGUGAAAUGCGUAGAGAUGUGGAGGAAUACCGAUGGCGAAGGCAGCCCCCUGGGAUAACACUGACGCUCAUGCACGAAAGCGUGGGGAGCAAAC